rnacentral:rRNA from 1 species
GAUUCUGGCUCGGGAUGAACGCUAGCUACAGGCUUAACACAUGCAAGUCGAGGGGCAGCGGGAAGUCAGCUUGCUGACUUUGCCGGCGACCGGCGCACGGGUGAGUAACACGUAUCCAACCUUCCCGUUACUCUGGAAUAGCCUUUCGAAAGAAAGAUUAAUACCGGAUAGUAUCGAGAGAUUGCAUGAUUACCCGAUUAAAGAUUCAUCGGUAACGGAUGGGGAUGCGUUCCAUUAGGCAGUUGGG